rnacentral:rRNA from 1 species
CCCUUAGAUGUUCUGGGCUGCACGCGCGCUACACUGAUGCGCUCAACGAGUUUACGACCUUGCCCGGAAGGGUUGGGUAAUCUUUUUAAAACGCAUCGUGAUGGGGAUAGAUUAUUGCAAUUAUUAAUCUUUAACGAGGAAUUCCUAGUAAGCGCGGGUCAUCAUCCCGCGCUGAAUACGUCCCUGCCCUUUGUACACACCGCCCGUCGCUCCUACCGAUUGAGUGGUCCGGUGAGGCUUUGGGAUCUGAGCGGAAAGAGCGUUUCGCUGUUUCUGCUCGGAAAACUCAGUCGAACCUUAUCAUUUAGAGGAAGGAGAAGUCGUAACA